UGUCUAUGAUGAGCCUGUCCCAAACAUGAAUUUCUAUUGAAAAAAUAAUUAUGGAUUGGGCUUCUAAGAU
rfam:Fukomys damarensis contig138683, whole genome shotgun sequence.